GGGUUGUGAGGUUAAGCGACUAAGCGUACACGGUGGAUGCCCUGGCAGUCAGAGGCGAUGAAGGACGUGCUAAUCUGCGAAAAGCGUCGGUAAGGUGAUAUGAACCGUUAUAACCGGCGAUGUCCGAAUGGGGAAACCCAGUGUGAUUCGUCACACUAUCGUUAACUGAAUACAUAGGUUAACGAGGCGAACCGGGGGAACUGAAACAUCUAAGUACCCCGAGGAAAAGAAAUCAACCGAGAUUCCCCCAGUAGCGGC
rnacentral:rRNA from 1 species